ensembl:lncRNA
UUCUGAUUCUCUGCUCUUCUCUUCGCCGUUAAUUACGACUCUAAACAAUAAGACCGAUAAGAUGCGCGCUGUGAUUUUGGUGACGGUUGGUCUGCUGGCGCUGAUUGGACACCUGGAUGGACGCGCUCAUGGCGAGAAACGACGCGACAGACCAAACUGUCUCCAACGGACGGUCUCUCCCAGACUGAUCAAGGAAUUACUCAACAAAACACAAACUCUCACUAACUCUUUACCAACGUUCCCCAGAAAAAUAUAUGAAAGACUUCUGCCCAAAAUCUGUACAACGUGUGCUAAGAAACAACUUGGCAUCUGGGAAAUCAACAAGAUAUUGGAUGUCUAUUCCAACGUGUUCAACCAGGACUCUUUGGAAGGUCUCUACCCCAAACACUUUGAGGAUCUUCUGGCCAG